rnacentral:rRNA from 1 species
AGUGGGGAAUCUUGCGCAAUGGGCGAAAGCCUGACGCAGCGACGCCGCGUGGGUGAUGAAGGCCUUCGGGUUGUAAAGCCCUGUGGAGGGGGACGAAUAAGUGUUGGCUAACAUCCAGCAUGAUGACGGUACCCCUUUAGCAAGCACCGGCUAACUCUGUGCCAGCAGCCGCGGUAAGACAGAGGGUGCAAACGUUGUUCGGAAUGACUGGGCGUAAAGCGCGUGUAGGCGGCCUCGCAAGUCGGGUGUGAAAGCCCUGGGCUCAACCCAGGAAGUGCACUCGAAACUGCAAGGCUUGAGUUCCGGAGAGGAAAGCGGAAUUCUCGGUGUAGAGGUGAAAUUCGUAGAUAUCGAGAGGAACACCGGUGGCGAAGGCGGCUUUCUGGACGGCGACUGACGCUGAGACGCGAAAGCGUGGGGAGCAAA